rnacentral:rRNA from 1 species
AGUGAACGCUGGCGGUAGGCCUAACACAUGCAAGUCGAACGGCAGCACAGUAAGAGCUUGCUCUUACGGGUGGCGAGUGGCGGACGGGUGAGGAAUAUAUCGGAAUCUACUUUUUCGUGGGGGAUAACGUAGGGAAACUUACGCUAAUACCGCAUACGACCUACGGGUGAAAGCAGGGGAUCUUCGGACCUUGCGCGAUUGAAUGAGCCGAUGUCGGAUUAGCUAGUUGGCGGGGUAAAGGCCCACCAAGGCGACGAUCCGUAGCUGGUCUGAGAGAAUGAUCGGCCACACUGGAACUGAGACACGGUCCAGACUCCUACGGGAGGCAGCAGUGGGGAAUAUUGGGCAAUGGGCGCAAGCCUGAUCCAGCCAUACCGCGUGGGUGAAGAAGGCCUUCGGGUUGUAAAGCCCUUUUGUUGGGAAAGAAAAGCAGCAGGUUAAUACCCCGCUGUUCUGACGGUACCCAAAGAAUAAGCACCGGCUAACUUCGUG